UUAGACCCAUUAGGAAUAUCAAAAUAGAUUAUCGUCGCCGACCCUUCCCUUACCUGAAGCCUCCUUCGAUGAACUUCCUGUAACGCCUUCUUUCUCCAUUGAUUUAUACCUUAAAUCCAUUCAUUAACUAGCUUUAGUCCACGCCUCCCACUCUAUAGCAUUUAAUCGACCUCACCAUCUUCAUAUGCAACAGACGGGAGGGCUCCUCCUAUAAAUUUCAACGCUCCGAGCGUUAUACAGCUCCAUCUCUGUGAAAUCUAGAAGUAUUGUCUCUGAACAGGAUUGGUGGUACUGGAAUGGACAUGAGAAGCACAGCCAAGGUAAUCUUUUUAUUUUAUUUAUACGUUGAUGAAAAAGUUAGCAAAUUUCCUGUAAAAUAGAAUCAGAAUGACAAAGUUUAAUGAUCUCUGUUUGGUUUACUUUUACACUCUCCCUGGACCUGCAACCAACCAUCAAAACUCCCAAAAAAGGAACUAUGAUGGUUCCAACACUUGGUGAAGCUCCUGGGGAAGAUAGUGAAGUGAUCUUAUAGUAAGGUCUCUCCUGCAAACCAACCUUGCAGAUUAUACCAUCAGCUCCUGCAAACAACAACAACACAUGCCACAAUGCAUUUGUUGAAAGGCACAAUAGAGGAGGAAGCGAAAGCUAAGAAAAUUAAUAUCACCGUAAGCAGUCUGCAAAUCCCAUUGAUUUCCUCCUUUAAUCCCAGCGGUUUGAUGGACAUAUAGCAUAUAGAAACAUCGUCUGAAAGCCGCAACCAAAUCUGAUUCGUCUUCCCAAAUCAGAGCUCCUGUAUAACAGACUCCAAAGUUUUAAAGUUCGAGAUUGUCUAACAAAAUCUCCUCUUUAUCACGCUCCGACAAACCAGACCCAGGUUGUGAUGUCAGUCGGCCAUGGUUAAACAAUAACGUUUUGAGCAGUAGCAGCACUCAAGUUGUAAAUGUCCCAAAAGAUCCUUUGAGAAAGAUGGCCCGAAGGAACAUGAUGUGGUUGUGCAAAUCCAAGCUUCUUACACUCAAUAUGAAAGGUGAACAGGCUGAGGCACACACUCAGUGAAAAAUUAUAAUGAAGCUGGUGAGUAUAAAACUGCAUUGCUCUGUCGCCCCUCUUCAUCUCUCUCUGAAAAAAAAACAGAACAAGGUUCUGAUAUUACUCGGCCGUGGUUAUACGAGAACUAUCUGAGCAGCACUGGCACUCCAGUUGUAAAUGUCACAAAAGCUACUAUAUCAGCGAUGAAUGCUUUGAGCAAGUUCCCCCGCACCAACAGGAUGCUUUCGCGCAACGCCAAGCUUCUAAAACGCAACAUAAGUUAAACAUGCUGAGGAACACACAUCAAUGAGACAUCAUAACUCAGCUGCGCAAGGCGGUGUAUCAAAUGACUGCACCCCGGUAUUUGCUUCUGGUCCUCACCUAAUCACAUGGUUCCCGCAUUGUUAUAGCAGAUCGAUCUUGCCACUAGACACGGUACGGCACGCGAUAACGAGCAACGCGGCUUCCAAUUCGUGCCUUCAAUGCAUAUGCUUCCAAAAUCUCAACUCUACGUUAGUAACAAAAUUUUAAUUACAUUCCUUUGCAUGAAUCACUCAAACAACAAAAGCAGGGAAAUGGGAGCUGGUUAGGGAUGUUUACUAUGGAAAGUCCAUGAGCCACCAUCACCCUUGAAAGAGCUUCUCGAGACUCCUAGCUUCCAAAUCAACAUCCAUGUUGCCAACGUUGCAGGAUUCAUGGCCAUAACUACCACCAAGUCGGCUCCCUUUUACCAGUUGACGGGAAACAAUGAAUUAGACAAUAGGAGGAAAGCGCUAAGGGGUCAACCAUCCACAAAUAUGAUUCCAGAUGAAAGAACACAUUAUACAAUAAUAAUUUAGUUAAAUUAGAUGAUAUAAUUUAAUAAUAAAUAUAUUUCAAGGAAAACAAAAGAGGAUGGAGAAAGUGUACUUACAAUAUUUUUCAGAUUUUAUUAAACUCAUGCCAAAGAGAUAAAAUAGUGAAUUUGGUGAAAAUA